AACAGACGCUGUUGGCCAUCCCUGAAACAUGCGGGUGUCAUGCUCCGGCUCCUGCUGACUCAGGGCAAACCUGAUCCUAGCCAGAGGUGGAGCAUGCAGCCAGGAAGAACAUGGACACGGUAUGUUCACACACACAGCGCUCGGCCCACCACUCGCCCACGAACAUUUUUCACGCCACUCAGCCAAAGGCAAAUGCCUGCCCUACGCAAGACCAGCUCAGAAAUCCAUGACUUCCAAAGUUGGCUCUGUGAUUAUCAGCGCGUGCCAAGGAGCCUGUGUCUCCCUGAGAUCUGAAACCUUGGCAGGAAGCUGAGAUGAGAGAUUGUUGCAGGGAUGGUGAAGAACUGGUAUCCUUUGCAAGAAAAAUACUAACUGGUGGCUCCGCCGUGCUUCAUUUCUGGCAGAGCCCUGACUUGGAUGCACUCUGACUGUCGAACAAUAGCCCUAAACGACAGAAGGUUCUGAAGUCUCACCCGUGUGGCAGGGGCACAUUUGAUCCAGGUUCCCAUGGCUGCACAUGGCUCCAGCACGAUCAGCCACGGUUCACCUGCGCAUUCUUUCUCUGAUGGCCGGCACCCGGCUGCCUCCAAUGCUCUCCCACAUACCUCCUCCACACUGAACAGCCUCAAACCCGUGGACCGCGGCAGAUCCCAUGGAAUGCCUCUGGGUUGUAUACUCAGCAGCGUAACCACUGGGUCAUAGCAUCAGGAGCCCCAGAUCCUUCUGGAAAGGCUGAAGCAUCCACACUCCAUCAGCCACCAUGAACUUGCCUACAGAACCCAUCCAGGCCAACAUUUGGCUUAACCAGCUUUUUAACUGUUUGCCAGUCCAACAGCUGGAAAGUGGCAUUGUGUUCUAGUUCUCAUGUGUGUGAUUACUAAUGACCUUGAGCUUCUCUUUAUAUGCAUACUAGCUUUGGGGUUUUUCUUUCUGUCAUCUGUCCAUAUCCCUUGCCCAUUCUUCUGCUGCGGUUGCUCUCCUUGUCUUUUUGAUUGGCAGGAGUCCCUUGUUA
rnacentral:lncRNA from 1 species